rnacentral:rRNA from 1 species
GACGAACGCUGGCGGCGUGCUUAACACAUGCAAGUCGAACGGUGACCCUCUUCGGAGGGGCUCAGUGGCGUACGGGUGAGUAACACGUGGGCAACCUGCCCCCGGCUCUGUGAUAACUCCAAGAUAUUGUGGCUAAUACCGGACGUUCACCGCUUCCCGCAUGGGUGGUGGUGGAAAGGGUUUCCGGCUCUGGCUGGGCGGGCGGCUUAUCAGCUUGUUGGUGGGGUAGUGGCCUACCAAGGCGACGGCGGAUAGGCGACCUGGGAGGGGGACCAGCCACACGGGGACUGAGAGAGGGACCAGACUGCAACGGGAGGCAGCAGGGGGGAAUAUUGCGCAAUGGGCGGAAGACUGACACAGAGACGCCGCGUGGGGGAUGACGGCCUUCGGGUUGUAAACCGCAGUCGGCAAAGACGAAGCGCAAGUGACGGUACCUGAAGAAGAAGCACCGGCCAACUACGUG